UACGUAGGGGGCAAGCGUUGUCCGGAAUCAUUGGGCGUAAAGAGCGUGUAGGCGGCUCGAUAAGUCUGCUGUGAAAGUCCAGGGCUCAACCCUGGAACUGCGGAUGAACUGUCGGGCUAGAGUCCGGAAGAGGCGAGUGGAAUUCCCGGUGUAGCGGUGAAAUGCGCAGAUAUCGGGAGGAACACCAAUGGCGAAGGCAGCUCGCUGGGACGGUACUGACGCUGAGACGCGAAAGCGUGGGGAGCAAACAGGG
rnacentral:rRNA from 1 species